rnacentral:tRNA from 1 species
GGUCCCAUAGCUCAGCCGGAUAGAGCGAUGGUUUCCUAAACCAUAGGUCACUGGUUCGAUUCCAGUUGGGAUCA